CCUACGGGCGGCAGCAGUAGGGAAUCUUCCACAAUGGGCGAAAGCCUGAUGGAGCAACGCCGCGUGGGUGAAGAAGGCCUUCGGAUCGUAAAACUCUGUUGUUAGGGAAGAAAGUGCGUGAGAGUAACUGUUCACGUUUCGACGGUAUCUAACCAGAAAGCCACGGCUAACUACGUGCCAGCAGCCGCGGUAAUACGUAGGUGGCAAGCGUUGUCCGGAUUUACUGGGCGUAAAGGGAACGCAGGCGGUGUUGUAAGUCUGAUGUGAAAGCCUUGGGCUUAACCUGAGUAGUGCAUUGGAGACUAGGAGACUUGAGUGCAGAAGAGGAGAGCAGAAUUCCUGGUGUAGCGGUGAAAUGCGUAGAUAUAAGGAAGAACACCAGUGGCGAAGGCGGCUCUCUGGUCUGUAACUGACGCUGAGGUUCGAAAGCGUGGGUAGCAAACAGGAUUAGAUACCCCAGUAGUC
rnacentral:rRNA from 1 species